rnacentral:rRNA from 1 species
ACAGCAGUCGCCACGGGAAUACGAGGGGGGCAAGCGUUGUUCGGAAUUAUUGGGCGUAAAGGGUGCGUAGGCGGUUUCGUAAGUCUGAUGUGAAAUCUAUGGGCUCAACCCAUAGUCUGCAUCGGAAACUGCGAGGCUUGAGAGUGGGAGAGGUGAGUGGAAUUUCCGGUGUAGCGGUAAAAUGCGUAGAUAUCGGAAGGAACACCUGUGGCGAAAGCGGCUCACUGGACCAUUUCUGACGCUGAUGCACGAAAGCUAGGGGAGCAAACAGGAUUAGAUACCCCCGUAGUCCCUGUCUCUUAUAC